rnacentral:rRNA from 1 species
AUUGAACGCUGGCGGCAUGCUUUACACAUGCAAGUCGAACGGUAACAGGCCGCAAGGUGCUGACGAGUGGCGAACGGGUGAGUAAUGCAUCGGAACGUGCCCAGUCGUGGGGGAUAACUGCUCGAAAGAGCAGCUAAUACAGCAUACGAUCUAUGUGUGAAAGCGGGGGGCCGUAAGGGCUCGCGCGAUUGGAGCGGCCGAUGUAAGUUUAGGUAGUUGGUGGGGUAAAGGCUCACCAAGCCAACGAUCUGUAGCUGGUCUGUGAGGACAACCAGCCACACUGGGACUGAGACACGGCACAGACUCCAACGUGAGGCAGCGGAGGGGAAUUUUAGACGAUGGGGGAAACCCUGAUCCAGCAAUGCCCAGUGCAGGAAGAAGGCCCUCGGGUUGUAAACUGCUUGUGUACGGAACGAAACGGUGUGGCUUAAUACCCUGAGCUGAUGACGUUACCGUAAGAAUAAGCACCGGCUAACUACGUGCCAGCAGCCGCAGUAACAC